GCCCAGCCGUAAACUUUUAUUUACAUUAAAUCGCCAGGGAACUACGAGCUAAGCUUAAAACCCAAAGGACUUGACGGUACCCCAUAUCCCCCUAGAGGAGCCUGUCCUAUAAUCGAUAAUCCACGUUUAACCUCACCAUUUUUAGUUAAUCAGCCUGUAUACCUCCGUCGUCAGCUUACCACGUGAGCGCCAAUUAGUGAGCCCAAUGUUAAUUCACCAAUACGUCAGGUCAAGGUGCAGCCAAUGAAAUGGAAAGAGAUGGGCUACACUUUCUAAAUUAGAAGAUACGAAAAACUAUUUAUGAAACCUAGUUAGAAGGCGGAUUUAGUAGUAAAAUGGAAUCAGCAUACCCAUUUUAACCUGGCACUGGGGUGUGU
rnacentral:rRNA from 1 species